UGUCAUUAUUCUGGCAUCUUUGAGGCCCUUGCUUGCUAGCCAAGCAGUGGCCCAGAUAGCACACAUACGUUUUGCCGAUGUCAGCAUAAGAUCGGAAGAUCGAAAGCGGUUUAGAGCGUCGAGGGGAGGUCGACUGUACGCGUGAACGACGGAAAGAAAUGUGUGGCCAGGAAAUGGGUCUGAGAUGGGCGGUUCCAUGCGUUAACGCUGUACAAUGCUGCACAGUUUUUUCCAUGGCCAUUUAUUUCCUGACCAAAGUCCGAUACAGACCUUAUCCGGCGACAAGAUAUUUUUGUUACAAAAUCAUUUUCAUAGAACAUAAGAUUGUUCAAAUCUCCCCACAACCAGGAUGGAAGCAAUACCCAGCACCAGUACUCUUUGAAACAGAAUAUCUUCACAAGAUUACAGAGCAGUGGGAGAAGUCAUGUGUGACAUCAGACCUCAACACUAACUAGGAGCAAGAAUGCCAAAGCGACAGACAACUUAUCAAACUUUGGUCGUCCUCCUCCUCAACAUCUUCAUCUUCCUUCCAACACCUCUCAACUUUUCCACUAAAAAG